rnacentral:rRNA from 1 species
AGCGAACGCUGGCGGCAGGCCUAACACAUGCAAGUCGAACGAACCCUUCGGGGUUAGUGGCGGACGGGUGAGUAACACGUGGGAACGUGCCCUUUGGUUCGGAACAACUCAGGGAAACCUGAGCUAAUACCGAAUGUGCCCUUCGGGGGAAAGAUUUAUCGCCAUUGGAGCGGCCCGCGUCUGAUUAGCUUGUUGGUGAGGUAAAGGCUCACCAAGGCUACGAUCAGUAGCUGGUCUGAGAGGAUGAUCAGCCACAUUGGGACUGAGACACGGCCCAAACUCCUACGGGAGGCAGCAGUGGGGAAUCUUGCGCAAUGGGCGAAAGCCUGACGCAGCCAUGCCGCGUGAAUGAUGAAGGUCUUAGGAUUGUAAAAUUCUUUCACCGGGGACGAUAAUGACGGUACCCGGAGAAGAAGCCCCGGCUAACUUCGUGCCAGCCGCCGCCGUAAGAC